rnacentral:rRNA from 1 species
GACGAACCGUGCAAACGUUAUUCGGAAUCACUGGGCAUAAAGGGCGCGUAGGCGGCUUCAUAAGUCAGGGGUGAAAUCCGGCAGCUCAACUGUCGCAGUGCCUUUGAUACUGUGAAGCUCGAGGAGGUGAGGGGUCGGUCUGGAACUUCCGGUGGAGCGGUGAAAUGCGUUGAUAUCGGAAGGAACGCCGGUGGCGAAAGCGACGGACUGGAUCUCUUCUGACGCUGAGGCGCGAAAGCCAGGGGAGCAAACGGG